rnacentral:rRNA from 1 species
GGGUCAGUAGGUUGGUCGUGCCACCGGUACGUACUGGUCUCACUGAUUCCUCCUUCCUGAAGAACCGUAAUGCCAUUAAUUUGGUGUUGCGGGGAAACAGGACUGUUACUUUGAAAAAAUUAGAGUGUUUAAAGCAAGCUAACGCUUGAAUACAUUAGCAUGGAAUAAUGAAAUAGGACGAUCGAUCCUAUUUUGUUGGUUUCUAGGAUUGACGUAAUGAUUAAUAGGGAUAUUGG